UCGACCUGAGGUCAGGCAAGAACACCCGCUGAACUUAAGCAUAUCAAUAAGCGGAGGAAA
rnacentral:rRNA from 1 species